rnacentral:rRNA from 1 species
AGCGAACGCUGGCGGCAGGCCUAACACAUGCAAGUCGAACGAACCUUUCGGGGUUAGUGGCGGACGGGUGAGUAACACGUAGGAACGUGCCUUUAGGUUCGGAAUAACUCAGGGAAACUUGUGCUAAUACCGAAUGUGCCCUUCGGGGGAAAGAUUUAUCGCCUUUAGAGCGGCCCGCGUCUGAUUAGCUAGUUGGUUGAGGUAAUGGCUCACCAAGGCGACGAUCAGUAGCUGGUCUGAGAGGAUGAUCAGCCACAUUGGGACUGAGACACGGCCCAAACUCCUACGGGAGGCAGCAGUGGGGAAUCUUGCGCAAUGGGAGAAAGCCUGACGCAGCCAUGCCGCGUGAAUGAUGAAGGUCUUAGGAUUGUAAAAUUCUUUCACCGGGGACGAUAAUGACGGUACCCGGAGAAGAAGCCCCGGCUAACUUCGUG